GGCGCUAUAGCCAAGUGGUUACGGCGACAGAUUAGAAUGAGUUCCACAUCCAACUUGAUACGAUCUGUUCCUCUUUGAGGGCGCAGGUUCGAAUCCUGCUGGCGUCG